UUUUUGCGCAUCAAUGACCGCUGGUGUUUUUACAAUCUACCUGUGUGACAUCAUAAAAAUCUGUGAUCGAUUUAAUCACAACCUUCAUUUGGACAACAACAAGAGUUUUUAACAGGUUUCAAAAAUGGAAUCAACAUCAACAAACGGGUGGUCAACAUCAAAGAAAUCUCUAUAAAACAUAAAAUCGAAGCAUGUUGAAGAAGAUUUGGAACUGGAUUAAAAAUGGCGGUCACGUCUACAUCAUCAUGGUUUUGUCCCUAUCGUACCUUCUGUAUUUAUACGUGAAUCGGUUCCAUUUGCAAGACGAGUCAAAGACUACGGAGGGCAGAAAAUACUCGUGGAUGAACGAUUUCGCAGACUUUUUACUUAUAUUUGAAGAUUUCACAGACUAAUUAAAAGAACAAAAUACAUGCUGCUCUCAAAGCUGAAA